AUACUUUACCUGGAAGGAGAGACAGCAUGAUCAGGAAGUGGUUUUCCCAGGGCGAGGCUCACCCAUUGCACUGCGGCUGUGCUGACACCGGUGCUUUCCCCAAAUAUGGGACACUUGAUUGCAUAAUUUGUGGUAGUGGGGGACUGCGUUGGCGCUCUCCCCUG
ensembl:snRNA U1 U1 spliceosomal RNA